AGUGAACGCUGGCGGUAUGCCUAACACAUGCAAGUCGAACGGCAGCACACUAAGAGCUUGCUCUUACGGGUGGCGAGUUGCGUACGGGUGAGGUAUACAUCGGACUCUACUUUUUCGUGGGUGAUAACGUAUGGAAACUUACGCUAAUACCGCAUACGACCUACGGGUGAAAGCAGGGGAUCUUCGUACCUUGCGCGAUUGAAUGAGCCGAUGUCGGAUUAGCUAGUUGGCGGGGUAAAGGCCCACCAAGGCGACGAUCCGUAGCUGGUCUGAGAGGAUGAUCAGGCACACUGGAGCUGAGACACGGUCCAGACUCCUGCGGGAGGCAGCAGUGGGGAAUAUUGGAGCAAGGGCGCAAGCCUGAUCCAGCAAUACCGCGUGGGUGAAGAAGGCCUUCGGGCUGUAAAGCCCUUUUGUUGGGAAAGAAAAGCAGCAGGUUAAUACCCCGCUGUUCUGACGGUACCAAAAGAAUAAGCACCGGCUAACUUCGUG
rnacentral:rRNA from 1 species